UACAGAGGGGGCAAGCGUUGUUCGGAAUUACUGGGCGUAAAGGGCGCGUAGGUGGCCUUCUAAGUCGAACGUGAAAUCCCUGGGCUCAACCCAGGAACUGCGUCCGAUACUGGAAGGCUUGAAUCCGGGAGAGGGAUGCGGAAUUCCAGGUGUAGCGGUGAAAUGCGUAGAUAUCGUAAGGAAGACCAGUGGCGAAGGCGGGUCUCUGGACAGUUCCUGACGCUGAGGCACGAAGGCCAGGGGAGCAAACGGG
rnacentral:rRNA from 1 species